rnacentral:lncRNA from 1 species
CGGGGUUUGUGCUUGUCUGUGCAGCGCCGAGCACCUGGCUGGCCCUGCGCAGUGCUAUGGCUUUCCUGAGCGUGGCCUGGCAGUUCCUYGGGGCUGUAGAGCCCUGCUGUGGGCUAGUAGCAGGCCAGGGUUCUCCAGGCCCUAGUGCCUUGGUGGUCCCAGUGCUGUUGCUGGGCCUGAGGGCCUGUCCUGGCCGGGCACCCUGGCCACCUCCCUGCAGGARCAGGCCCUUCUCUGCUGUGUGCCUCAGGCACCUGCCCAGGCACGCUUCAGAUCUGUCUCACUGUUGGCUGCAGAUGGCCGCUGAGGUGUUUGGGUGGUGGCACUGUGAGUGGUGGCCCAGCCCAUGGUGGCAGAGCUGUUACUGCUGCCUUGACCUGCUCACAGYAAGGGUAGAGCCUGGCAGCGCCUCUUCUGCUAUGUCCUGUGGUGCAGAGGCUGUGCUACAGCUGUGCAAGAUGUGAUGGACUGAGCAACCUCAGCUGUGGAGUUGUGGAUGCCCAGCACUUCUGAUUCAAAACCAGGGUAAAUACCCCCAAACCACUGGAAUAACAGUUAGCAUAGUGAUUAUC